CCAGUUUCUUGUUUAAUGUCAUAAUUAGAAGAAAGUCUUGAGAAGAUUUUUGUCCUGACUGAACAGAUUUUUGACCAGCCAACUAGCAAGCCAUGCAUUGUCCUCAUCCUUACACUCCCUGCAAUAUGGCUCCUUGUGUGGGACAAGGCUGUGACCUGGAUAGCUUCCAAACUGGCUGGAAGAAAGUGUGUGACUUCAAUGUGAGUAUAUUUUGCACAUGAAGAACCACAGAUUCUUCACCUGAGAUUCACAUCUAACAAGUGGGGUCUUCUUUCCUCCAGUAGAGCAGGUCACCAUCACUUUGCAGAUUGCUUGAAUGCUUGGAAGAUCACCUGAGUGCCUGCACCAAUCCUGUGUCCAUCUUAUGUUGAAGGGAGCAUCGAGGCUCUUUCCAUGGUUAAGAUGAUUGAGCAAAAAGGAUCCAUUCACAGCUCCGGCAACAUCUCUGGAAUAACUGUGUGAAGGAACUCUGCCAAGAGCUGGAAUUGCAGUUAACAUAGAAGCUUGAGGCAUAGAUAGCUGUAUCAUCUGGUUAAUAACUGCCAUUUGAAGGAGUCUGCAACACAGUGUGACCAAUUGCCUCAGUGUGUCCAGGUCUAUCCUAGUUUCCUGAGGCACAUACUUCCCAUCUUACAAGUGGAAAUAGAGCAAAAACCAUAUACACAGGCUCUUGGGAUUUGAAUGUGAAAUGAUGCUCAAAUGUUGGACUACUUAUCCUCACUUUGGGGAGCAGCUUGGAGCACAGAUAUCUGUACCAUCUGCUUAGAAACUUCCAUUUGAAGAAGUUUGCAAUAUGGUGUGAUCAAGUUGCUUCGGAGGUAUGACGGGGAACGUGCUCUAUGAAACAGAACCCUAGAAACACUUACUGAAUUUGAACUUUGUGUUGCUUUCUGAUAUCCGUGCUUGGGAUUCUGAAUGACUCCAGUUGGAUUUGAUUGGACCCAGGGUAGCGAGAGAAAUGAGGGGACAAGGCAUACACAUAGUGCAUAAGCAGGAAGACUCAUGACAUCAUACAUUUCUAGAACAGGACAGAUCUUCAAAAACAUGAACUGCAAGUUUCCUAUCCAUAGUGGAAGGUGGAAACGGAAGGAAGAAGGCAUGGUCCGGUCUUUCAGGAAGACUCUGCAGGAAGGAUACCACGGACAAGGGCUGAAAAUCUAAAUCCAACUCUGAAAACAUCACGUGACAGACACUGCCUUACCAUGUACACACCCAGAUGAUCCAACUUUCAUGUCAAUGACAGUGUUCAUCUGAAAAAGACCCAGCUUGACCCCUUACCUAAGUCACCUGAGAGAUGGGAGCCAAAUCCACUUCCUGUUCAGGUGUCAUAGAAAGGAGAGCCCAUUCUGUCCCUAGACUCAGUGCUGCCAAGACCCUGAGGGCUUGAGAAAAAGAAUUCUAAUGAAGUUUUUGUUUUGCUUUGUUUUGGUUUUCAAACAAUAGUGACUUUGUUGGCACAAUCAAGAAGCCCUCAAAGCAUGUGAGUGUGAGGGAUGGUGGUGAGUAAUGUGGUUUUAAAAUGAAGUCUUGAGUAUUGGCCCUUGCUUUUGAAGCACUUCUCUAUCAACUGCCUCAGAGGAUAAAAUGAAAUAGUUGGGCAAAGUGUUCAGUCCUGUCUUUCUACUAUUUGUUUAAAAUGCAUUGAUGCUAUCUCAUCACUUCUGUUUCUAGAAUAAAUCAAAGCCAGCAUUUUGAUAGCUUUUUAAAGAUGUGUACGCAUGUGCAUAUACGUGUGUGUGUGUGUGUGUGUGUGUGUGUGUGUUAAGUGUGCAUGUGAAGGGGACAGAGGUCAUUGUUGAAUUCCUCUAUUGCUUUCUGCCUUGUUGUCAAAAGCAAGGUCUCUCACUAAGCCUGCAGCUUACUCUCAGGACAAGAGCAGUGGGCCAUCGGGAUCUAGAAACACUUCUGUCUUUGCCUCCCCAGUGUUAGGGGACAAGCAUGUACCAUUUCACCCAGCCUUUUAUAUUUGCCGAGGAUCUCACCAUUGGUCUUCAUGUUUGUGUGGCAAUCGCUUUAAUGAGAUGGCUCCAGGGAAAGGCACUGUAUCUCCUGCCAAGCCUGGCAACUUAAGUUUAAUCUCUGAGACCUACAGUAUGGAGAGUUGUAAGUUGAGCUCUGUCUUCUACAUAUGCACCAGGAUGCCUGUGUGUCCCCAAAUAAAAUAAAUAGAUGUUUUAAAAAAAAAAAAAAAAAA
rnacentral:misc_RNA from 1 species